rnacentral:rRNA from 1 species
AGAGAUGGCUUGGUGCUCGAAAGAGAACCGUAACACAGGUGCUGCAUGGCUGUCGCCAGCUCGUGUCGUGAGAUGUUGGGUUAAGUCCCGCAACGAGCGCAACCCUUGUCAUUAGUUGCUACAUUUGGUUGGGCACUCUAAUGAGACUGCCGGUGACAAACCGGAGGAAGGUGGGGAUGACGUCAAGUCCUCAUGGCCCUUAUAGGUAGGGCUACACACGUCAUACAAUGGAUGGUACAGAGGGUCGCCAACCCGCGAGGGGGAGCUAAUCCCAUAAAACCAUUCGUAGUCCGGAUCGCAGUCUGCAACUCGACUGCGUGAAGUCGGAAUCGCUAGUAAUCGCGGAUCAGAAUGUCGCGGUGAAUACGUUCCCGGGUCUUGUACACACCGCCCGUCACACCAUGGGAGCGGGUUCUGCCAGAAGUAGUUAGCCUAACCGCAAGGAGGGCGAUUACCACGGCAGG